rnacentral:rRNA from 1 species
GAUGAACGCUGGCGGCGUGCCUAAUACAUGCAAGUCGAACGCUGGAGAUCUAGCUUGCUAGAUCGAAGGAGUGGCGAACGGGUGAGUAAUACAUAAGCAACCUACCCACGAAGACUGGGAUAAUCUCUGGAAACGGGGACUAAUACCGGAUAGGUAAUCGGAAGGCAUCUUCUGGUUAUUAAAGGUUAAAAACACUGGUGGAUGGGCUUAUGGCGCAUUAGUUAGUUGGUGAGGUAACGGCCCACCAAGACGAUGAUGCGUAGCCGGCCUGAGAGGGUGAACGGCCACAUUGGGACUGAGACACGGCCCAGACUCCUACGGGAGGCAGCAGUAGGGAAUUUUCAGCAGUGGGGGCAACCCUGACCGAGCGACGCCGCGUGAGUGAAGACGGCCUUCGGGUUGUAAAGCUCUGUUGUAAGGGAAGAACGGUAGAUAGAGAAUAUCUAAGUGACGGUACCUUACCAGAAAGCCACGGCUAACUACGUG